UACGGGGGGGGCAAGCGUUGUUCGGAAUUACUGGGCGUAAAGGGCUCGUAGGUGGCUAACUAAGUCAGACGUGAAAUCCCCAGGCUCAACUUGGGAACUGCGUCUGAUACUGGAUGGCUUGAAUUCGGGAAAGGGAUGCAGAAUUCCAGGUGUAGCGGUGAAAUGCGUAGAUAUCUGGAGGAAUACCGGUGGCGAAGGCGGCAUCCUGGACCGAGAUUGACACUGAGGAGCGAAAGCUAGGGGAGCAAACGGG
rnacentral:rRNA from 1 species